rnacentral:lncRNA from 1 species
AAAUUUUAAUAAGGGCAGGGGUAGUUAAAUCUCAUUUAGUGAAAUUCCGUAUAAUUAGAAAGAAAGAAAAGAUUUUAUUGGUUGCAUCAUCGGUCAGUCACGAAAAUUGCUUGACAUAAAUAUUUUGAUAGACGACAAUGAGCAACAAAAAGAAAGAAGUUAAGGCUAAUACAAAAUCAUUCUCGGGGCAUGAUUAUGACAGGUAUGGUAUUAGAAUUCAAAAUUUAAGACUACUAAGGAUUUUGGCGUUUUGAAUCAGAAUGCUAGCAAGCCAUGCCAAAAUAAGAAUAAGCUAUUUUGGAGAUUUCUCGAUGGAGUAAUUUGUAUUUGGAUUAUGAUUAAAUUAGAUUUUGACUGAUGUUAAGUGGAGUACUAGCAAUGGAAUAUUAAAGUACAUUGUGAUUAUUUAUGUAUCAGUAUAUAGGUGAUAUUGGAAGUUUAACUUGAUACUGGGUACCGUGGAUGAUACUUCUAGUUUGAAGUUAAUUAUUUUGAUGGCAAGAUAGGGUUUAUUCAUAAGUUGUUUCAGGCUUGGACAAGGAAAGGUUUUAUAUUCUUCGAGGAUGAAAUUUGUAUGACAAUUAUGCAUGAAACUAUUAUAUAGAAAGAAAGUAUAUUUGAAAGGGGUUUGAAGUUUUGCUAGGAUAAAAGUUGAUCAUUAAAUUGUAGGCAAAGUUAAAAGAAGAAAGAGGAUUAUAGAUUAUGAAAAGUAUUUGAUGCUAAUGCUCUCACCUAUUUCUGUUAAGCCGAUUAAGAUCUUUGUAUGGACUUAAUCAAAAGCAAUUAAUUUCUUGGGCCAAGGAUUAUAGUAUUUAAAAUCUAAGGUAGGAAGACCAAUCUUGUUUUGGAAGAGACCAAAGGAACUCCUAUGCAUCAUAGACGAAAAGGGGUCAAGUUUUGAUAUGCCAUGAUUUUGCCAAAAUUUUAUGAGCAAGCAUUUUAAGAGGGAGACUAACUGAGAUCUCGAGGAUGACUCGAUGGUUGAAUACUUUUAAAAUCUGAACCUUAAGGUAUGACUAAUUUCGAGGACGAAAUUUAUUUAAGGGGGGAAGAAUGUAAUACCUGGGCCCAAAAAUCAACUGGGCCCAAUACGCCUUUUUGGGCCCAUAUUCGAGCAUUGGGCCAUGACAUCUAAUAGACUAACUGG